rnacentral:lncRNA from 1 species
UGUCAGUCCAGUGUCCCUCUGGAAACCAGUGCCCUGUCCAGCUAUUAUUGCAAAGUGAUAAGCGAUGCAAUGUGAUCCACCGGCAAGGAGGCACACCAAUGGAAGGUGUCCGAUAAGAGGAACAGUGGAAUUCUGUGGGCUGGAGAAAUUCAGGCAGCUGGCAGUUGAACUUUAAGUACCACUGUAGCAGACACCAGCCUUCCCUCUCAGUCUCACUGGCCUUGAAGUGAUGAUAAUGACACAUUCGGAGCAGCUGGAGAUUUCUGUGGAGCCAGACUGCAGAGGUGACCAUAAGGAAGAGAGUGCAGAUGAAACAGGAAAAGCAGAUGCCAGAGAGGCUGAGGAUGGGUGAGCAAAGUGCAGUAACGCAGAGCACAUGGCAAAUACAGCGUGUAUGGUGGCAAUAUUCACUAGACUGUUACCAGAGAAGUCUCAGCAGUGUGAGAAACUUCAAAAUCCUGCUGCACUGA